rnacentral:RNase_P_RNA from 1 species
GGGGGUGGUCGGAUAGCCGCUCUACACAAAAGAGUGUAGGGAGGAAAGUCCGGGCUUCAAAGGGCAGGAUGCUUCCUAACAGGAAGGGUCUGGUUUGGUAACAAAUCAGACACGGAAAGUGCCACAGAAAAUAUACCGCCUGUCAAUCUUUUUUGGCAGGUAAGGGUGAAAAGGCGGGGUAAGAGCCCACCGCUUUAGUGGUAACACUAAAGGCAAGGCAAACCCCAUCCGAAGCAAAACCAAGACGCCCCGUUGAGGUGGCCCGCUGAGGGGCAGGUAGGUCGCUUAAGCCUGGCAGUGAUGUCAGGAUUAGAGAAAUGGCUAUCAAAGUCUGCUCAAAAUGGGCAGACUGAAACAGAACCCGGCUUACGAACCACCCCCACUU